GAUGAACGCUGGCGGCGUGCCUAAUACAUGCAAGUCGAGCGAACAGACGAGGAGCUUGCUCCUCUGACGUUAGCGGCGGACGGGUGAGUAACACGUGGAUAACCUACCUAUAAGACUGGGAUAACUUCGGGAAACCGGAGCUAAUACCGGAUAAUAUAUUGAACCGCAUGGUUCAAUAGUGAAAGACGGUUUUGCUGUCACUUAUAGAUGGAUCCGCGCCGCAUUAGCUAGUUGGUAAGGUAACGGCUUACCAAGGCAACGAUGCGUAGCCGACCUGAGAGGGUGAUCGGCCACACUGGAACUGAGACACGGUCCAGACGCCUACGGGAGGCAGCAGUAGGGAAUCUUCAGCAAUGGGCGAAAGCCUGACGGAGCAACGCCGCGUGAGUGAUGAAGGUCUUCGGAUCGUAAAACUCUGUUAUUAGGGAAGAACAAAUGUGUAAGUAACUAUGCACGUCUUGACGGUACCUAAUCAGAAAGCCACGGCUAACUACGUG
rnacentral:rRNA from 1 species